GUCUCUUCGGGGAUGAUUAAACCGGCGCACGGGUGAGUAACACGUGAGUGACCUGCCUUUUAGACUGGAACAACUUACCGAAAGGUGAGCUAAUGCCGGAUGAGUUAUAUAAGUGCAUGUUUAUAUAGGAAAAGUUGGGGAGACCUGACGCUGAAAGAUGGACUCGCGUCCCAUUAGCUAGUUGGUAGGGUAAUGGCCUACCAAGGCGACGAUGGGUAGCCGGCCUGAGAGGGUGGCCGGCCACACUGGGACUGAGACACGGCCCAGACCCCUACGGGAGGCAGCAGUGGGGAAUUUUGCGCAAUGCUCGUAAGAGUGACGCAGCGACGCCGCGUGAAUGACGAAGGCCUUCGGGUCGUAAAGUUCUUUCGACAGGGAAGAAAAUGCCUAUAUGUAACUGUGUAUGUAUUGACGGUACCUGUAUAAGCAGCCCCGGCUAACUCCGUGCCAGCAGCCGCGGUAAUACGGAGGGGGCGAGCGUUGUUCGGAGUGACUGGGCGUAAAGAGCACGUAGGCGGUGUUGUAAGUCAUUAGUCAAAGACUAGAGCUCAACUUUAGUAAGGCUAGUGAUACUAUAAUACUAGAGUAUCAGAGAGGAUUGCAGAAUUCCUGGUGUAGCGGUGAAAUGCGUAGAUAUCAGGAGGAAUACCGUUAGCGAAGGCGGCAAUCUGGCUGGAAACUGACGCUGAGGUGCGAAAGCGUGGGUAGCAAACAGGAUUAGAUACCCUGGUAGUCCACGCUGUAAACGAUGAAUGCUAGGUGUUGGGCUUU
rnacentral:rRNA from 1 species